rnacentral:rRNA from 1 species
AUGUUGUACGUCGACAGCUUCCCCGCGGAUAAGUUCUUCCUCCUAUUCGAUUACAUAUUCGACAUGUUUCACGUGAAGAAGCUGGAUUUUACGUUUGUCCGCCUUUAUGCCUUGCACAUGAACUACAUCAUCGGGGUUGAGCAGAUAUCUCAUAUCUGUGUCGCUGACCUGUACUACAUGCACGAGGGCUUCUUGGGAGUCUGUGCAAAGCAUCGUGAAUACGCGAGGGAUUACAUCGUCAGUUUCAUGCUCGCCAAUAAGGACAAGGAAGCGAUUCUCGUGCCUUAUCAUCCCGUCGGCGGGCGCGCCGUCCUCAUCAUCCUCUACCCCCGAUUCUUCGACGCUCUUUACUUGGACUCGUCGAAGAACAUUCAUAAAAAGGAUUACACCCACAUCAAGGAUGUUCUUGACAGUGCUAUGUUUUACUACCAAGCAAGUGGUGGAGAGGUCAGGGACAAGAAGAGAAGGGGCGGCAGGCCCACCUUCAUCCAUAAGACCGACUUCUGCUGCAUCCAGCAACCGAACGAUUCUCUUAAUGAUGGAUUCUAUGUCCUACACCACAUGCUGGAGUACAGACGGGAUCACCAGAACCUUCGCAUAUCACCUAGAUCCGGCGAUGCCCAUAUUCUGCAAUGGGCGAAGGACAUAGGAGAUAUCGAGGAUCAUCGACUUCGAGCUGAGUUCUAUAACAUCCAGCGGGAACUUGCCCAAAUCAUCAUGAAGGAGGUCGUCGAAAAAACAGGGAUGUUCUACGGAGAAGGACAAAUGUCGCGGUAA